rnacentral:lncRNA from 1 species
ACAGAAACAAACCCAGUCUCGCAUCUCUGUGGGCUAAGUUGGUCCCAGCAGAACACAGACCCGGGAUGUAUUUCACUAUUCCAUCGUUUCAUCGACAUCGGAAAGAGGAAAAUGAUGGGGUUGUUCAAGGAUUUCUCAGCUUGGCUUGUGACAAAAGGAGUUUGCAAGUUUUCCAAGCAAAUGGAAGUGAUAUCUUAAGAGAAAAGAGUUUGUGCUCAGAAUCUUGACAGUGGAUUCAAAGUUGAAAAGACAAAGUGGACAAUCUCCAGGAAGCAAAGAGUAUUUUGGAACCAAACACUAAAAAUGACACGUAUGAUUUUUUUUCAAAUAGGAAAUAAAUACUCCUCGGUCAUCUUCCUCCUCAAUAGUUGUAAGCACUGGUUACUUCUGUCUGGCAAUUUAUAAAUAUAAGCUACUCAUUGCUCAGGCAAAUACAGAGUGUUUGUUUCCCAUGAUGGACAUGGCCAUUCUUCACCAUAGGAAAGACUGGUAUGAAAGGAGCACUAGGCCCAGUGCGCGCUGACCUUCUUGAGUCCUCACUUUCAUUUGAUAUUUGAAGAUGCACUUUUGGAAAAUUCUUGGACAUUAUUUAAAGUAAACAAGAUUUGUACAAUGUUGGUUCAGUAAAUGUCCUCCCAGC